AAAAUAAAUAGUUUUUUAAUUGAAAACUAGAAUGAAAGAAUUAAUAAAAUAUAAAUUGUCUCAAACUUAAUUAUAUUAAAUUUAAAUAAAAAGUUAAAAUGCUUUUAUUAUUUAAUAAGACGAGAAGACCCUAAGAAUUUUAUAAAUUAAUAAUUAAAGUUAUUAUUAUGAAUAUUAUUUUUUUUAUUGAUAUUUAUUUUAUUGGGAGGAUAAUUAAAUUUUUAAAACUUUAAUUAUUUAUAAACAUUGAUAAUUGAAUUUAAAUGAUAAUUUUUAUAGUUAUAAGUAAUAAUUACCUUA
rnacentral:rRNA from 1 species